GGCACGGUGGUGCAGUGGGUAGCACUGUCUCCUCACAGCAAGACGGUCGUGGGUUCGAAUCUCGGCCUGGGGCC
rnacentral:tRNA from 1 species